CCUGGUAACCCAAAAUAAUUUAAAAAUUGAAUAAAAUUUAUCAUAACUAUUUUAAGUGUACAGUCCAGUGGUAUUAAAUGCGUUCAUGUUAUUCAACCAUUACUACCAUCCAUCUCCAAAGUCCUUUUCAUCAUAUAAAACUCUAUAAACAAUAAACAAGAAAUGACUCCCUAUUCCCCUCUUCUCUGCAGUCCCUGGCAACCACCAUUUUACAUAAGUUACAUGUUUAUAGCUGAAGUCUACAAAUUAUUCCAUAAAAUGGUUUUACCACAGUAUUUAUACGAUACCGAGUUGGGUAAAAGGGCUCAUGUGUCCUCCUAGGUUUUGUAUUGACCUUAGCAAAGCUAUAGAGUUUAUUAUGUGAUACUUACGUUUAUUUUUCAGGCUCUUACAGCACUACUUUCAGAUGACAGCAAAUUUGGCUUCAUUGUAAUAGAUGGCAGUGGUGCACUUUUUGGCACACUCCAAGGAAACACAAGAGAAGUCCUGCACAAAUUCACUGUGGAUCUCCCAAAGAAACAUGGUAAUGCAUGAGCCCUUUAACUUUGUGUCUAGCAAGAAAGUCAGUUUCUGAAAACAAGGAGCAUUUUAUUCUGCUAAACAUGUGGUUAAGGGAAUGGGGACAUUUAUAUUUCUCUGUUCAUUUCUCGGAUAGAUUUUUUUCUUGUUGUUGUUUUUCUCUUUUACUUUCACUUUUUGUGUUUGGAUAACUUCUCAAUAAUCACCCUUUUGUGUCAUAGGUAGAGGAGGUCAGUCAGCCUUGCGUUUUGCCCGUUUAAGAAUGGAAAAACGACAUAACUAUGUUCGGAAAGUAGCAGAGACUGCUGUGCAGCUGUUUAUUUCUGGGGACAAAGUGAAUGUGGCUGGUCUCGUUUUAGCUGGAUCAGCUGACUUUAAAACUGAACUAAGUCAAUCUGAUAUGUUUGAUCAGGUAAGUGAGAAAUAGAUGGAUCAAUUUUUAUGUAAGUCUCUAAGUGGGAAUAGGUAAGUCCUCUGUAUUUACCCUGGGACAUGCAUAUCUUUUUGAAUUUACAUAAAUAUUUCCCUGACUUUAAAAAACCUUGCUAUGAGAGCUAGAGGUAUAGCUCAGUGGUAGAGUGCUUGCCUAGCAUGCAUGAGGCCCUAGGUUCAAUCUUGUAGCACUGCAAAGGAAAGAAAAAGAAAAAACUUAGCUCUGAAUUAAACAGUAACAGGUUUAUAGGCAUUUAGUUUAAAAUGCCUCAUUCUUUUCUGGAUACUUUCUCUGUUGAAAUCAUUUUUAGGCAGGUUGCCAUAAUUAGCUUUAAAAUGGUUUGAUUUCAGAGAAACUAGCAGCUCUUUUUUUUUUUUUCCUGAGUUAUAACUGCAAUUAAAUCAAGUAGUGAAAUUCAGCUGUAUGACAGGCAGAAUUUUAAGACCAAAGCAUUGCCAGGUCCUAGCAGCUCCAGAGGCUGAGGCAAGAGGAUCUUGAGUUCAAAGCCAGCCUCAAUAACUUAGUAAAGCCCUGGGCAACUCAGCAAGACCCUGUCUCUAAAUAAAAUACAAAAAGAGGGGGGGGGUGGAUAUGGCCCAGUGUUUGAGUGCCCUGGAUUCAAUGCCUGGUACCCCCAAAAAAGGAUCAAAGCAUUUAAAUUCAGAGGAUCUUUUGGUUUGUGAUAGGGGUUCAGAAGUGAGAGCUGGGGGUGGGGCUGAGGCUCAGUGUUGCUUGCAACUUAAAAAUUUUUCUUCCUUUUUUUUUUUUUUUUUUUUAUUUAAGUGAAAGAGCUAGCAAGGCACAGUGGUACAUGCCUGUGAGGAGACUGAGGCAGGAGGAUAGGAAGUUCAAAGCCAGUUUCAGAAACUUAGCAAGGCCCUAAGCAGUUUUGCAAGACCUGUCUCAAAAUAAAAAGGGCUAGGAAUGUGGCUGAGAGGUUGAACACCUCUGGGUAUUUUGAAGUGCUAAUGUUUUUGUUUUUGUUUUUAAUUGUAUCAGAGGUUGCAAUCAAAAGUUUUAAAAUUAGUUGAUAUAUCCUAUGGUGGUGAAAAUGGAUUCAACCAAGCUAUUGAGUUAUCUACUGAAGUCCUCUCCAACGUGAAAUUCAUUCAAGAGAAGAAAUUAAUAGGUAUCAAUGAAAUGCAACUAUUUUGCUCAUUAUAUUUGUGUGUAAAUGUAGGUACGUACAUAACUGUAUGUAUGAAAAGGCACUGAAAAUAUAGAAGAUUUACCAUUUUCAUAAAAUUUUCUGCCUUCAUGGAAUCAUUUUUAAUCUUCCUUAGUUAGGUCUAAUAAGUGUUUGUAGCUACAAGAGAAAAUGUAAUAUAUAAUCAUCCCUGAGUAUCUGCAGAAGAUUCACAAUCUUGAAUCUUCUUGAAUAUACAAGUCCUUUAUAUAAAAUGUGGUUUAGUAUUUGCAUAUAAUCUACACACAUCCUCCUGUAUACUUUAAAUUAUCUCUAGAUUAUUAUGUAUAAUAACCACUACAACAUAAAUACUAUGUAAAUAAUUGUUAUGCUAUAUAUUGUUUAAGGAACAAUGUCAAGAAAAGGUGUAUGUGUUCAGUACAGAUGCAUCCAUCAUAGACCUAAGUACAUAAUACACAUAAGCAAAUGUAACUUUUUUCCUGAAUAUUUUUGAUCUGAAGUUCAUUGAAUUUGUGGAUAGUCAGCCAACUGUAUGUUUUAUUGUCUUGUCUCUAAUCCACAGGACGAUACUUUGAUGAAAUUAGUCAGGACACAGGCAAGUACUGCUUUGGUGUUGAAGAUACAUUAAAGGCUUUGGAAAUGGGCGCUGUAGAGAUUCUAAUAGUCUAUGAAAAUCUGGAUAUAAUGAGAUAUGUUCUUCAUUGCCAAGGCACAGAAGGUAAGAAAACUAGAAAAUAAGAUUCUUAUUUGUUACUUUCUUGUGUAUGCUGGAAAUCUGGGGUGGGCAUUUGGGGACAUGUGGCUGAUUUCAGAAGCAACCAGAAGGCAGUUGUAUGUACCACUCUCUUUUGGUUGUUUGAUAUGUCUUUAUGGUAGAAGUAGUGUACCUGGUAGAUGCUGAGUGCAUGCUAAACUCUGUAGGAAAGGAGGUUAAUACAAUGAGUCCAGGAGACGUUUUCUCAUCUAAUGUCACAGGGCUCAUACCUAUUAAUACAUGAGAGCCAGAUUAACAAGUUCUUUUUGUUGUUGUUGUUGUUUCAUUUUAAACUACAGAGGAGAAAAUUCUCUAUUUAACUCCAGAACAAGAAAAGGAUAAAUCUCAUUUCACAGACAAAGAGGUAUGUGAUUAUUUUCUUUGGUGGUAAACGCAAGGAAGCACAGACUCUCAGCCUUGGGAGACCAAACCUCAUACUAGUUAGGGAGUCAGCAGGAAGGGGUCAGCUUCUAUUUGCCAUGCACUGAUCUGAUUCCAAGGAAGGGGGCCUAGGAAUGGUUACUGCAGAUCUUUUUAAGUAAUUAAGCAGUCAGGAAAACAUUGUUGUUAUCCUUGAAAUAAUUUGAAUAGUUUCUGCUAUCUGUGAACCUAUACUGCUUUCUUUGCUUUUAUCAGUUCUUCCACUGCAGUGGCUUCUCUGCAUUUGAUGUAAAUGUAUACCAGUUUAAAAUUCUAUGAGUUGGAGGACUUGGGCCUUUAUGAAGCUGCUCCCAAAAGCAUUUGUGGCAUGCUUCUUCUGGGGUGUGAAUGAGUGAGCAACAGCAUGACUUCUGGAAUCAACAGUAGGAAUCAUAAGUUGAAGAAUUUGUUAAUGUUUCAUUAAAGGGUAGAGCCUGAGAAGUAUUAAAGUAUAAAGUAAUCAGAAUUUCUCUGCUAUUUCAGUUCUGUUACCAGAAACCAGAAUUCACUUUAUUUUACACACAUUUUAUACAUAUGCAUAAUGAGUAGGAGAAUUAGAGUGGUGGAAAGAGGGAUUGAGAGGGUUAAGAUGAACUUCAUUGUGUAUAAUGUUUUUGUUUCUCAUGGUCGCAUCUAUAGACGGGGCAGGAACAUGAGCUGAUUGAGAGCAUGCCCCUUUUGGAAUGGUUUGCUAACAACUAUAAAAAAUUUGGAGCUACAUUGGAAAUUGUCACAGAUAAGUCACAAGAAGGAUCCCAAUUUGUGAAAGGAUUUGGUGGAAUUGGAGGUGAGUAGCAAAUCAGCAAAUAUAACUUAAAACAAGGGUUUCAGGCCAGGGCCUCUCCUGGAUUAAGUAAUUUCAGGUAAAGUGUACUCAUGGUCUACUUGAGGCAGGUGGCUACACAACUUGAUUUGGAUUUUUUUCCCCUCUCCAUUACUGGGGAAUGAACCAAGGGGUUCACACAGCCCUUUUUAUUUUAUUUUGAGAUGAAGUUUAAGUUAUCAAUGCAGGUUUCAAACUUGGCAGUCCUUCCUCAGCCUCCCAAGUCAAUAGGAAUACAGGUGUGCACCACCACACCCAGCUGGAACAAUUUUAAUCAGUCACUCUUUGCUUUCUAGAAUUCUGCAAAUGAAUGGACUACCCUUAUAGAGCAACCCCUCCCUAUUCCAUGAACAUUGGUACUUACCCUUUGAUUUUUUUCUCUAGGUAUCUUGCGGUACCGAGUAGAUUUCCAGGGAAUGGAAUACCAAGGAGGAGACGAUGAAUUUUUUGACCUUGAUGACUACUAGGUAGUCGACAUGGGUCCGGCAAAAUGUGCCUCACCCUCCAGCAUCCAACCCAAGGAGCAUACCCGUGGUGGAAUCCAAACAGAUCCCUGCCUUACAAUUGGAACAUUUCCAGAACUUAAUCCAUGAGCAUUGGAUACUGAAAAGAAAACCGAAACAAAACCAGACCCAACCCUGUACAUUGGUUUGUCAUGGUGUCAGCGCAGCAGCCUGCAACUAAGUUCCUAAAUGCCACUUUGGACUAAUUUAAAAAGAAUCCCAGUUUUUACUUUUACUUGAUGGUGAAAUUGGUUGCUCUUGUAUUUUAUGAAAAAAAAAAUGAUUUUUUUAACCUUCAUACAUAGAAGCAAAAUACUUUAACUGCUGUAAACCUUCAAAAGUUAAUAGAAGCGAGAUCAUACUGGUUUGUUUCUUAUUUUGAUUGGAGAAAAAUUAAAAUUGCUGCAUUUCGCAGUGACCCAUUUACAUGGCAUUCUCAGCUUAGACUGCAUAAGAAGAAAUACAUGUGGUGAAAUGUUGGAACCAUUUCUCUCUUGGUCUCUGUUUAAUGUUGAAAGGGUGAGCUAAUAGGAGGCAGUUUCAACCUCACUCCCACACACCCCUUCCCCAAACUGUCAGUUUCAAGGAUGCAGAUUGCAUUGUAAAGUCAAACUGACUCAUGAAGCAUUGAGGCCAGUGCACUGUUUACUUUCAUCUGUUUGGCAGACACAUUUGUGCCCGAUGUUUGGGAGCCCUUUGUAUCAUUUACUUUAACAAGGGUCCCCAUAAACCUAGCCUACUAGAAAUCAGUUUGGGAUGGAUAUGGUUGGGCUUCUGUGCUAUUUGCUGGGAUUGGGAGAAAUAAAACAAACAAUUUUAGUGGAAGCAAAGAAAUUUAAAGAUUAUUUUAUUUUGCUUGGGUCUACCCUUGGUAAAAAGGGAGGUGGUCGUGUUUCCUUGUGUUGGGUGGCAUGAGAUUAUGUGAAUGUUUUGAUUUUUUUUUUUUUUUUUUUUAAUGAAAUGGAAGAUUUUUCACCGGGACGACAGACAAGACAUGUAUGAUUGCAUGGAAUUAUAAACCCUUGGUGGGGUUUGAGCAUCUGUUUCAAAUGUGGGACUUAAAAGCACCUCUCAGAUGAGAAAUUAUGGGAGGAGGGUGGGAAGGGAAGGGGUGGGAAGGGAUGGGACACAGCUUCUGGCACGAUGGACUAAACCAUGUUGGAUCUAAAAAGUUGGCCUGAAAACCUGAAGCUUAUGCUUCAUAGCUAGGCUAUAAGGUGGACUAGAACCCAGCCCAUGCAAGUCAUGGCGUGCUCGAUGUGGUGACAGUGAACAAAGUGUAUAGGAUGUGCCCAGUGCUAGCAAUGAGAAAGUGUAUACCGAAUGGACUUUGAAGGACCAAAGGUUUUUUAAGUCAAUUGGUAUCACCACCACCCCAGUGACUAGGGUAGUGGGGUGCAUUUGGUUUUCAAAUUGGGUACUUUCAACACUUAGUGCCUGACUGCUGUUCUUCACUGACUUGAUUCAGUCACUCGUAGCUUUAUUGGUCUGAACCAACUCUUUGUUCCCAGGUUACAGACCUGCCUAUCGUUCCAAUAAUCCUGUUUCACUUGAAUGAAGGGAGUAUGUCUUAAAUGUAAAGCUUCUGGUACUCACACUGUGCUCUGAGGUCCAAAUAACUGUCUGUCAAUGUAUAACCUGAUGUCUCAACCCCCAGUGAGAAGAGUCAAUUCUUUGGUGUUCACCGAUGUGGGAGGCUUCACCGGAACAGGCUUUUGCUUUGGGCUCUGCUGUUUGUUUGCAGAACACCCAAGAGCAAGUAAACAUGCUCUCUUCACAGCAGUACCUUAGGGUUUUGCCAUUGUAAAUGGGUCUAAUGUGAUAUGAUAAGACCAGAGAAAUUGGAUGUAAAUUUACAUUUUUGAAUAUGCUUGUUGUUUCACAUGAUACAUUUAGGGUAUGCAGCUCCUUUUGUAGUUUUUAUUUUUACUAUUUAAGUUUGGAAAUGAUGCCAAAUUUUUGUAUUUCUUUAAUCAAUGUGUUCUCUUCGGUGAUAUAUAUUGCAUUAUAUAUUGAUGUGUGUAUCAAUAUAUACUGGUAUGUAUUACACUUACACAUGCAAACACAUAAAUAAGAGGGGGUGAAAAACGUAGCCUUUGCAUUCUCUAUAGCCUCUGCAGAGAGAUCUAAGCAGCGAAAUCUUGGUGUUGUGAUGUACAGAAAUGGAGAAGAGUAUUAAACCAUAUUUAAGAAUAUACUUUGUGUGCUUGAGAUUUUUUAGGACUGUUUCCUAGAAAAGUCUGAACUUUAGAGACAGUAUGAGAGGUCUUUGAAGUUUAUGU
rnacentral:lncRNA from 1 species